GGGGGCGAUCUGGUUUCGACCGGGUUGUUUACCUCUUCGGGUGGCGUGCCGAGGUGCCCACGAGGCCUCGUUAAACCCGUGGGAAACACGUAACUGGCAACAACAGCUACGCAAUGGCUGCCUGAGAAGGCAUCCCGUUGCCCCACUCUCAGCCUGCCGGAGUGGGGCAGCGACACUGGCAGGCUGGUCGGAAGUCUCCCGCCUGUGGGGCCCCGACGAGAUCCAACGGGCUGGCGCCCCUCGCAGCCUGUCGGCCGGCGACGAGGGGGGCGAGAUCCAAACGACCGACUACGCACGUAGAGGCCUGUUGAGGGGCGCUCUGGGACGCGGGUUCGAUUCCCGCCGCCUCCACCA
rnacentral:tmRNA from 1 species